UUUAAAAAUAUGAUAAAUUUUUACCUAUAAAAGUUGAUAUCAAGUUUGGGGUUUUGAGAUAAAAUAUUCAGAAUGGUGAAGACAAACUCAGAUGAAGUCUCUCCAAACUCUGAAUAUGAUAGAGCAAGUGAGGUUAAAGCUUUUGAUGAGUCCAAAAUAGGAGUGAAAGGCCUUGUUGAUGCUGGAAUUACUCAAAUUCCUCGUUUCUUCCACAAAUCAAAACAUGAUGAUAUUCCUGUUCUGAGAGAUGCCCAAUUUAGUAUUCCAAUUAUAGACCUUGAAGGUCUUGAUGGAGAUCGAGUUAAGCGAAGAGAGAUCGUUGAUAGAGUAAAAGAAGCCUCAGAGAAUGGAGGGUUCUUCCAAAUUGUCAAUCAUAGCAUUUCAGAAAGUGUUAUGAAAGAAAUGAAAGAUGGUGUUAGAAGAUUUUAUGAGCAAGAAACAGAGGUGAAGAAAGCUUUUUAUACAAGAGAUUUUAGUAAACCAGUGGUUUAUAACACUAACAAUGGAUUGUAUACCUCUCCAUCUGCUGAUUGGAGGGAUACAUUUCUUGUUCGAAUGGCUCCUGACCCUCCUAAGCCAGAGGAUUUACCCCUUAUAUGCAGAGACAUACUUGUAGAGUACUCGAAGCAAGUGAUGAAAGUAGGAAUUCUAUUGUUUGAGCUGAUCUCAGAAGCUCUUGGGCUGAAUCCGAAUCACUUACAUGACAUAGAUUGUACAGAAGGAUUAGUGGUUAUAUGCAAUUACUAUCCACCAUGUCCGCAACCAGAACUAACUAUGGGAAUAACCAAACAUGUUGAUAUUGAUUUUCUUACUGUGCUGCUUCAAGAUGACAUUGGUGGUCUUCAAGUUUUGAAUAACAAUCAAUGGAUUGAGGUUUCUCCUCAUCCUGGAGCUUUAGUUGUGAACAUCGGAGAUCUUCUUCAGAUUGACAACUGAUUUUGAGCUUUUUGUGAGAUUUGAACAUUUGAAGGAACUACUGACAAUGAGGGUCCCUUAUGGGUGUGACAUGGUCGUCAACCACCUUUAGUGAUGAAGCCCAUACUCGGGGGCAACACCCCCGACCGAGACCCAACUUGAGGGGGGUGACAACUACCAUCGUCGGGUGACCCCUAGGACUCAACUUAAGGGGGUGACAACCACCAUCGUUGGGUGACCCCCCGGACCCGACUUGAGGGGGGUGACAACCACCAUCGUCGGGUGAACCCCCUCGGGACCGAACUUGAGGGGUGAUGACAACCACCAUCGUUGGGUGACUCCCUCGGGAUCCGACUUGAGGGGGGUGACCACCACCUUCGUUGGGUGAUCCCUCGUCCGUUGUCAGUAGUUAUGUUGUAAUGUGGAUAUCCUCAUAUACAUCUGAGAAUGUCAUUAUAUCUAAAAUGCAUGACUUGUAUCACGAGGGUGUAGGGGGUGAGAGUAUACCCCUAGACCAAUCCUUUGGAAGGUAAGGGGUAAUAGUAUAUAUUCCCUAGACUAACUUGGCAUAUGGGUGUGUGGUGAUUGUUCAUUCCGCUUACAAAGGUGUUAGUCCAUCAUUUUUCCUUCUCGGAGAUACCCACCUUACUCAAUCUAGGGCUUAUAACAAAUGAUAGAUUCAAAAGCGUUGAGCAUAGAGUAGUUUUGGCCAAUGAUAUGGGUCCUCGAGUAUCGAUUUCAAGCUUCUUCUGCACAGGUAAUCUGCAAACUUCAAAAUUGUACCGACC